rnacentral:tRNA from 1 species
GCCGAUGUGGCGGAAUUGGUAGACGCAAACGACUCAAAAUCGUUCGGAGAAAUCCAUGUCAGUUCGAGUCUGACCAUCGGCACCA